GUAUGCCUACGGGGCGCAGCAGCCGCGGUAAUACGUAGGUGGCAAGCGUUAUCCGGAUUUACUGGGUGUAAAGGGCGAGUAGGCGGGAUUGCAAGUCAGAUGUGAAAACUAUGGGCUCAACCGAUAGAGUGCAUUUGAAACCGCAGUUCUUGAGUGAUGGAGAGGCAGGCGGAAUUCCCGGUGUAGCGGUGGAAUGCGUAGAUAUCGGGAGGAACACCAGUGGCGAAGGCGGCCUGCUGGACAUUAACUGACGCUGAGGCGCGAAAGCGUGGGGAGCAA
rnacentral:rRNA from 1 species